GCACCUUUGUCAAAAACGAGUUCACUGUUUUGAUAUCAAGAUUACACAGAUCUCACAAAACAUCAUGAUAAGGUAUUGUUAUGCUGUCCAGCACAGGCUGGUGUCUAACUCCUGGAUUAAAGCCAUCCUCCCUCCUCAGCUUCUCGAGUAUCUGGGACUACAGAGGUAGACCUCAGAUUGCAGAAGACCAUCAGACCCAAGAGUACAACACACCAGGAUCUGGACUUUCCACUGUUUUUAAAGUUUUCACAGGCUGCAAUCUUCAAACUCUGCCACAAGAAAAACUCCAGAAGUAACUCUGAGGUCUGAUGUUUCACAAGGAAUACCUGUAUACUAUCUACAGGAAGUUGCGCAGGUCCUCCAUUUUCUUGCUUUUUUUGUGUUUUACUUCUUGGAUUACCUCUAAAACUCCGAAUCUCAUCAUCAUCAUUCUUGCUUGGAUUUCGUGACCUGGUCACUGACACACUUCCACAUCUUUCUGCUUUAACGUUCAGCACAAGCUAUAAUCAAUAUGUAUCUAUAUAAAGUCAAUACAUAUCCCUGGCUACGAUGUGAGCUUUUAAGAAAUGGGACUAUGUUCAGGAGAUCAAGACCAUCCUGGCUAACACGGUGAAACCCCAUCUCUACUAAAAGUACAAAAAGAAU
rnacentral:lncRNA from 1 species